rnacentral:rRNA from 1 species
GACGAACGCUGGCGGCGUGCUUAACACAUGCAAGUCGAACGGAAAGGCCUGCUUUCCCUUGUGUAUUGCGGGUACUCGAGUGGCGAACGGGUGAGUAACACGUGAGUGAUCUGCCCCCAACUUGUGUAUAAGCCUGGGAAACUGGGUCUAAUUCCCGAUAGUACUGCAGGGUGGUGCCUGUGGUGGAAAACGAUUUUCUUGUGGUUGGGGAUGAGCUCGCGGCCUAUCAGCUUGUUGGUGGGGUAAUGGCCUACCAAGGCGUCGACGGGUAGCCGGCCUGAGAGGGGGGACAGCCAAAUUGGGACCGGGACACGGCCCAGACGCCUAGGGGAAGCGGCAGUGGGGAAUAAAGGGGCACGAGCGGGAGCCAGAUGCAGCGAGGCCGCGGGGGGGAUGACGGGCUUCGGGUUGUAAACUCCUUUGGACCGAGAGGAAGCCACCUGGUUGGAAGGGUGGUGACGGUAGUGGUAGAAGAAGCACCGGCUAACUACGUG